rnacentral:tRNA from 1 species
CCCUGGUUAGCUCAGUUGGUAGAGCGCUCCACUUCUAAUGCAGAGGUCCCUGGUUCGAUACCCGGACCAGGCG